CCUACGGUGGGCAGCAGUGGGGAAUAUUGGGCAAUGGGCGCAAGCCUGACCCAGCAACGCCGCGUGAAGGAAGAAGGCUUUCGGAUUGUAAACUUCUUUUAUCAGGGACGAAGCAAGUGACGGUACCUGAUGAAUAAGCCACGGCUAACUACGUGCCAGGAGCCGCGGUAAUACGUAGGUGGCAACGGUUAUCUGGUUUUACUGGGGGUAAAGGGCGAGUAGGCGGGGGGGCAAGUCAGAUGUGAAAACUAUGGGCUCAACCCAUAGCCUGCAUUUGAAACUGUACUUCUUGAGUGCUGGAGAGGCAAUCGGAAUUCCGUGUGUAGCGGUGAAAUGCGUAGAUAUACGGAGGAACACCAGUGGCGAAGGCGGAUUGCUGGACAGUAACUGACGCUGAGGCGCGUAAGCGUGGGGAGCAAACAGGAUUAGAUACCCCUGUAGUC
rnacentral:rRNA from 1 species